rnacentral:rRNA from 1 species
UACGUAGGGUGCGAGCGUUGUUCGGAUUUACUGGGCGUAAAGGGCGCGUAGGCGGCGCAACAAGUCACUUGUGAAAUCUCCGGGCUUAACCCGGAGCGGCCAAGUGAUACUGUCGUGCUAGAGUGCGGAAGGGGCUACUGGAAUUCUCGGUGUAGCGGUGAAAUGCGUAGAUAUCGAGAGGAACACCUGCGGCGAAGGCGGGUCUCUGGGCAGUAACUGACGCUGAGGAGCGAAAGCGUGGGGAGCGAACAGG